CCGCCACGGGAAUACAGAGGGUGCGAGCGUUAAUCGGAUUUACUGGGCGUAAAGCGUGCGUAGGCGGCUUCUUAAGUCGGAUGUGAAAUCCCUGAGCUUAACUUAGGAAUUGCAUUCGAUACUGGGAAGCUAGAGUAUGGGAGAGGAUGGUAGAAUUCCAGGUGUAGCGGUGAAAUGCGUAGAGAUCUGGAGGAAUACCGAUGGCGAAGGCAGCCAUCUGGCCUAAUACUGACGCUGAGGUACGAAAGCAUGGGGAGCAAACAGGAUUAGAUACCCGGGUAGUCCCUGUCUCUUAUACACA
rnacentral:rRNA from 1 species